rnacentral:rRNA from 1 species
CCUACGGGUGGCAGCAGUGGGGAAUAUUGCACAAUGGGGGGAACCCUGAUGCAGCAAUGCCGCGUGAAGGAUGAAGGUUUUCGGAUUGUAAACUUCUUUUGUACGGGACGAAGAAAGUGACGGUACCGUAAGAAUAAGCCACGGCUAACUACGUGCCAGCAGCCGCGGUAAUACGUAGGUGGCAAGCGUUAUCCGGAUUUACUGGGUGUAAAGGGCGAGUAGGCGGGAUUGCAAGUCAGAUGUGAAAACUAUGGGCUCAACCGAUAGAGUGCAUUUGAAACUGCAGUUCUUGAGUGAUGGAGGGGCAGGCGGAAUUCCCGGUGUAGCGGUGAAAUGCUUAGAUAUCACGCAGAACCCCGAUUGCGAAGGCAGCCUGCCAGGCCAUGACUGACGCUGAUGCACGAAAGCGUGGGGAUCAAACAGGAUUAGAUACCCGAGUAGUC